GUAUGCUAUUUUUUUCAACUCUUCUCCCUCUCCAUGCGGCGCCACUCUCUCAUCCAGUCUCUUUUUUUAGACCCAAAACUGAACGAAACCACCAAGACCCAGCCCUAUUCUGAUCUCCAAACACUGCCUAUGACGAUCGAUGAGACUAAAAACCCCCUAAAUCAAACUCAAAUCCUCAAAGAAAAUUCCCCUACUUCUCGGCAAAAUCCAUGGCUAAGUUUCGAAUAGCCUAGCAAAACCCUCUAUCCCCUUACAAUUGUUGCUGGAAAUUUGCUGUUGCAAACCGAGAAUACCUCCUGUUCGAACGGUCACCUCUCAUUCAUGUUGGUGGAAUCUGUUUUUGACUUUGGCAUGUGAUUGCUGGAUUCAAUGGUGGCAUGAUUGGCGGCCUCAUUCACGCAGAUGGGAGCAGUAGUGAAGUACACACAUUUCUGGUGGUUGGCGGGUCAGAUCUUGUAACCGGAUCUGAAUCUGCGUCUUGGGCUUGAACCAUCUUGUAAUUGGGUUGAUAUUUGUAACUGGGUUUUGGACCUGUAAAAUAU